CCUACGGGAGGCAGCAGGGAGGAAUAUUGGUCAAUGGACGAGAGUCUGAACCAGCCAAGUAGCGUGAAGGAAGACGGCCCUAUGGGUGGAAAACUUCGUUUAUAAAGGAAUAAAACGAGGCACGUGUGCCUUUUUGCAUGGACGUUAUGAAUAAGGAACGGAUAACUCCGUGCCAGCAGCCGCGGUAAGACGGAGGAUCCGAGCGUUAUCCGGAUUUCUUGGGUUGAAAGGGAGCGUAGAGGGGUUGUUCAGUCAGUUUUGAUAGUUUGCGGCUCAACCGUAAAAUUGCAAUUGAUACUGGCAGUCUUGCGUCCAGUUGAGGUCGGCGGAAUUCGUUGUGUAGCGGU
rnacentral:rRNA from 1 species